AAACCAUGUAUCGGGCAUUUUUUAAUUAAUUCCUUGAAAAGCAUUAAUGCCUCGUAUAAUGUCUGAUCUUCAUAUUUUCUGAACAAUGUAAUCUCAUUCCUCAACUU
rfam:Gossypium hirsutum cultivar TM-1 chromosome 15, whole genome shotgun sequence